CUGAAGGUUACAACACCUAAACCACUGUGAACCGUUCCAUUAGCUGCCUCGGCGGGCAAUCCCAGGGCGGGAUUCCAGGCUCCUUCGGGGGCGUCCGCCGGCGCGCAACUCUUCUAGCUCUGUUUGCAGCGGGCUUCUGAGUGAUUGAGAAAACAAGUCA
rnacentral:misc_RNA from 1 species